GACGAACGCUGGCGGCGUGCUUAACACAUGCAAGUCGUACGGUAAGGCCCUUUCGGGGGUACACGAGUGGCGAACGGGUGAGUAACACGUGAGUAACCUGCCCACAACUUUGGGAUAACGCUAGGAAACUGGUGCUAAUACUGGAUAUGUGCUCCUUCUGCAUGGUGGGGGUUGGAAAGCUCCGGCGGUUAUGGAUGGACUCGCGGCCUAUCAGCUUGUUGGUGGGGUAGUGGCCUACCAAGGCGGCGACGGGUAGCCGGCCUGGGAGGGUGACCGGCCACAUUGGGACUGAGAUACGGCCCAGACUCCUACGGGAGGCAGCAGUGGGGAAGAUUGAACAAUGGGCGCAAGCCUGAUGCAGCAACGCCGCGGGCGGGAUGACGGCCUUCGGGUUGUAAACCGCUUUCAGCAGGGACGAAGCUUUUUGUGACGGUACCUGCAGAAGAAGCACCGGCUAACUACGUG
rnacentral:rRNA from 1 species